rnacentral:tRNA from 1 species
UGGGGUUGUGGCUCAGUGGUAGAGCGCUCGCCUAGCAUGUGCGAGGCCCUGAGUUCGAUCCUCAGCACCACAU